GAGUCUCCUUUCUGCAGGCUCGAUGGGAAGGUCCUUCUUGCCCAUUAAUAAUAUAAAGGAGCCGCAAAGGGCAACAACUUGUCCUUUAUCUUAGAAUCGCUGUCUUGGCAUGCCACAGACUACAGGACUUCUAAAAGCUUCAGUGUUGAAGCUCCUGAAUCUUCAUAGGGUGUAUCUCCCAUCUGGUGCACAUGUGUCUUCCUGAGUGUCUUCCUACGGCACCAGGUCUAACUGAUAUGACAACAUCAAUAUGGCGGAACAGCAUGAUGUGUGUGGAAGGUCUGGAUGAGCACUGUACCUGCAGAUCACAUGUGACAGAGAGAAGAAGGUUACACAGCCUGGGGAAGUCUAGUGGAUUGUGCCAUCCCGACCACGUAAGGGCAGACUGUUUUAUUGAUGGGGAUAAAGAAGAAUGAAUUUUCCAGAAUAAGUGCUCCAUACCAAGUGCCAAAGCCCACUGAAGACAGCACAUCUACUACUGGGGCUACCACUUGAUUAAGUUUAAGACAGUUACUGUCAUUUGCUACGGUCCAGUUGAUUUUGAUAGGGGCCCUACAGGGAUGGUGAAUGGGGAUAUGACGGGAC
rnacentral:lncRNA from 10 species